rnacentral:rRNA from 1 species
UACGUAGGGUGCAAGCGUUGUCCGGAAUUAUUGGGCGUAAAGAGCUCGUAGGCGGUCUGUCGCGUCUGCUGUGAAAACCUGGGGCUUAACCCCGGGCCUGCAGUGGGUACGGGCAGACUAGAGUGUGGUAGGGGAGACUGGAAUUCCUGGUGUAGCGGUGAAAUGCGCAGAUAUCAGGAGGAACACCGGUGGCGAAGGCGGCGACCUGGGUCGAUACUGACGCUGAGGUGCGAAAGCGUGGGGAGCAAACAGG